AACUAUUUACUUAGCUGGUGGUCAAGGUCAGGUUGUUGGAGGAAGCGUGGUGGGGGCAUUGAUGGCUGCUGGUCCGGUGAUGCUAAUCGCUGCCACGUUUUCUAAUGCGACUUAUGAGAGAUUACCUUUGGAUGAGGAAGAAGCGGCUGAAAGAGGUGGCGGUGGAAGCGACGGAGGAGUGGUUCCAGGGCAGCUCGGGGGCGUAGGUUCCCCGCUGAGUAGUGGUGGCGGUGGAGGCCACGGGAACCAAGGACUUCCCGCAUAUAAUAUGCCCGGAAACCUUGCUUCUAAUGGCGGUGGAGGAGGACAGAUGAGCGGCCAAGAAGCGUACGGUUGGGCUCAAGCUAGGUCAGGAUUUUAACGUGCGUUAAGAUGACUUUUUAUUUACAGCAGUUAACAAUAAAGAAUUACGUUAUGUCUAUUAUGAUAAUGAUUAUGAAAACUAGUUGCUACUAGUGAGCUAUAUAGUGUGUGGGUACAUUAUAUUAUGUUCUCUUGACUAGAUUAUUAUAUGCUAAAUUUCACUUACUUGUGUGUGGUUUAUGAUCUUUUAUUACAAGAUUUUCUCUUUGUUGGAUUCUUCAUUUGUUUUUAUAAUGAAGUUAUGUGUGCAUAUAUAAUCGAUUGAAUCUUUGAGGUUGGUCAUGUUUUCCAUGUAUAUGAUAUAGCACUAUAUAUGCCAUAUAUAAUUGGUUUUAUAUAUUUUGUAUGUUUGCAUGCAUUUAUUAGACACCUGAUUGGCAAUUAUCUACAAGCCUUACACUCACCUAGUCUCAUUAAAUAUAAGCUGGUUUAAUUUUGCUACAAAUUAUGUAAGAAAAUAUUGAUUUACAUGUAACCCAAUACUUCAAAAAUGCAUAUAUAUAUAUCUCAGCCUUCUGAACAAAACAUCGGAUUAUAACCCGAUUAAGAGUAACACGAACACGUAAAAGAACUGUUUAAGCUACGCACAUCAGCAUACAUUAUAUCAUACAAAAGAAAAAGAAUUGCCGAGAAAGAUCAAUGAACUCCGGUUCCAGGAUUUAGUUCGAUUCCAAAUAUUCACAAACAAUUUGUUUUAUUAUUUUCGGUUAUGAUAUUUUGGUCCAGUGAUUUAUUUGAUGGUAAACUCACAUAAAACUAUCAUUUCCGAAGAAUAAGUUCACAUCAUGAUAAGUCGGAUGAUAGAGUGAAGUGAUCAAAUGAAAUUAACAAAAAAUACUUUUAGAAUAAACAUAUAUAACAUGCAUAAAUUAGAUUAGUAUCAGAUCAUCUCUUGAACAAUCUAGGAUUUCAAUUUUAUUGUAACCUAACUUUUAUUAUUCAGUUAAUUAUGGUUACAAUUUUAAUUAAAAAAAAUUAGUAUGUUCGCUUAGCAUGCAGUCAUCAUUAAAUUAUACUCUAGUGGAAAAGAUGAUGUAUCCAACAAAAGUAAUCUAUAAAAGCUACUACUGCAAGAUAUAUAUUAAUAGGUUAUUUCAAAUGAAAUGACAUUUGACAAUAAAAUGUUCUAAUAAAAUAUAAAUGCAUGUGUUAUUUGAAUGUUCAAAUCACCUGGACUGAAACUCAAACUUAUAAUUAAUGGCUUUGUGAAUCUACAACGGUCUAAUAUAUAUAUAUACAAAGAAGCCGUAGUCAACCACAACUAAUAUAACUAAAUCAGUCGACUCAAAAACUAAUUUUGUUUUUCAGAAAAAAAACUAAUUUAGUUAUAAUAUAUAUAUAUUUAUGGUACACACCAGGUUCAAUGCAACUUAAUAUACGACGGGAAUAAAAAAAAGGUCCAAUGCAACUAUUAUACCAAUUUUUAAUACAUGUGUGUGUGUGCCUGUAUUAAUAAUCCCCCUUGCUGUCUGUCAGCUUACAAGUGUCGUCAUUUAACCAAGUUUUUAGGCUUUCUUGACCAUACCGGAGGAGAAUCCGGCGAGUAAGUGAGCUUCGGCAGAGAACGUAGAACUUUCUUUUUCAAUCCUUUGUUGGCCGCAGCCACCGGCGGUUGAGGAUUCUGAUCGGAGUUCGCAGCGGGGCUCCUACUGGCGGCGAUGCGACGGAGCCAGGAGCAUCGAGAGACGGCGACUAAGCCGAGAACGCAAAUCAGUGCGCAGAGGAGAGCUGCUAUGAUGACUAUGAGGUCAGAGUUUAACGUCGGAGAAGCUUUGGCCGGCGACGGAGGAGUGGCUUCUUGAAGGAGACGAAAGAGAAGACGCGCCAUUGCUGGAGAAGAAGAGAGGUUUGAUUUGAAAAGUUGAGAGGGAUUAGGUUUUGAGGAGUGUGAGCUUGUUUGUUUUGGGAGGCAAAGAGUAAAGGGUAUUUAUAGUGAACGUGAGAGAUCGCGUCUUGCUUUAUAAUAACAUCACUUUCGGUUAUUAGAUUAUUUUCUUAAAUGUUUUAAUUGUUGCUUUUAGUCAAAAGACUUAUCAAACUCUAUUGCUUCUUUUUUCUUCAUGUGUCUUGUUUUCUCUUUCAGUGUUUUGGCAUAUCAAACGGUCUCAAGUUUUUACGUAAACAGAAACAUGUAUUGUAAUAGUAAUAUUUACAUAUUAUUUGGGGACUACUUAUUGGAUAUUUUGUCUAAAAUUAAAUUAACGUUAGAGUCUAUUAAAUUCUACAUAAAUUAAACAGACAAGUCCAAAAGAUGAAUUACACCAAAAAGAGUCCAAGAGAUUAAAAAGUAACUGUAUGGAAUGAAUAAUACUUUUAGUGGAUUCAAAAACAUUUUAUAGUUUGAUUUCCAAAAUAAUAUAUGAGAUAGUGGUGCGUGUGGGGGUAGUGCACACACAUGAUGGAAAUGGCAGAAGCGUGUGUGUGCGAAAAUGCGAUGCCUUGGACCAAUGAGCACGAAAAUCACGAGAUAUAUUGAUAAGGUGUGUAUCACUUAUCACAAUAUAUAUAUUUUUAACUACCAGGAAGUUCGGGCUGAAAUCCUAAUCUUCCCGGAUCCGAAACUACGGUAUAUAAUAUUAGUUUCGUCACAGUGGUCAUUCGAACUGAAAACCUCUAACACAAUAAUCACAAUAUUCUUUCUUCUAAACAUAGCAGUUGUAAUUAAUGACUGCAACUAGUUUUUUAGAUUGCUAUAUAUAUGGACUAUGGACUUGAGAUUGGAGAAAAAAACAUUUUAAGACAUAUUAUUGUAGUGGACUGUAACUGGGUUGGUGUAUUAUGAUUACAUAACUCUUUUAGAUCAAAUGUAUUUUUUAUUAAAAUGCACAAUGAAUAUAAUUGCUAGAGACUAAGUUCUAUUACUAUUUUUGUUGUAUUGUUGCUGCUGCUAGAGACGUGUGGGAAAUUAGACAAAUUUAAGAAAAAUCAGAGUAUUACCCAAGAAAGAUGCAUUAGUAAGGAAGACAGCGUUCGCACAACAAUUCCACGGGUAGAUCCUACAAUCUGCACUCAAAGGUUUUAGUUGUCUUAAUUAGUGUAGUAAUACUAUUUUAAUUAAUUUAUAUUCUUAUUGUUUGGUUAAUUAUUUAGUUGAGCAUCUUACGUAAUUGGCGCAAUAUUUUGAUGAUACAUAUGUUACGAAUAACUUAAUGACGUUUCACCUAGUGGAUAAAUAUCAUUUUCUAUGUACAAUAAUGACCUUUGAAAUCACGAAAAGAACAUUUUGUUUUUAAUUAGUGGCUGCUGCUAGACAAGUUGGAAACCACAAAAAGUAGAUCGUCUUAUAAAUUAUAAACGGUAGUAACAACUUUUUAAAAGAUAUUAUGUUGUGUAUAGACUUGUAGGUAUAUAACAUUUACAUUUUAUGAAGUCGUUAUACUGACAAAGUAUACUAUAAAUUCUGAUAUUGUGUCUACAAAAUAUUCAAAGUUUCUUGUUUUUAAACAGUUAAAUCAUAUUUUUUGAACAGAUUUUUUUUAAAGCUUAAUAAUUAAUGUUCAAAUAUCCCACUUAACAAGUUUUCAAUUAGUUACGAAUAAUGCAGUGCCUUUUCAUUUUGUUUUUCUAUGUUGGUUCAGGACUAGCAGCCAAUCAAGCUAACAUGGCAUUUGGAAUGGGGAUAAAGAUAAUUCACUGAUGAAAACAUUUUAAUGGUUAGAUAAGAUCAAUCUUAAAUCUUAUCCCUCCAUAAUAAUUAUGAACCUUUUUUUCUAUUUAUGGGAUAAAAAGUAAUAUUUAGGUGUAUAAUCUAUGCAUAGACAAAUAAUUAAAGUGUUGAAAACAAAAGACACAAUUAUUUAAAAUUGACCGUGGAAUUGCAAAUGACAACCACAUAAAAAAACAAUAAAUACGAGGAAAAGAAAAUAAAUCUAUCUCAUAACCUUCACAUACUAUCCAAACUCUAUGUCAUACGUUGCUCGGUUGACCAAACAAACUAGGUAAUGUAUCACCAAAAAAUUACGUAUCAAAGAUUCAAUACUCGAAUUCAGGAUCUUGAUCAAAACUCUAUGGGAUGCUGAUAAUAGUACUUAAUGAAAUUACAAUUUACUUAAAAUGAUUUCAUCUAUUGUUAUGCAGCUUUGUGUACAUUGUUACCAAAGAGUACUCAUGUAUAUGAAUGUUUAUCGAUUUGUGUAAACGUGUUAGUUUAGCUCAAGCAUUUUUCUUUAGCAGAAAAGAUGAUAAGUUGGCAGGUCUGCGCGCCCUCAUACAUUGCCUCGUGCAUGUUUCACUAAUCGACAGAAAAUAAGUGAAUCUGUAAAGGUGGUCGUAUAUAGAAGCGCCUGACAUUUAGAUUUUUGUAAUAUAUAUAUAUAUAUAUAUAUAUAUAUAUAUAUAUGUAUUAUAUUAGUUAAUAUCUACAUAUGCCUCCACUUGUUAUAUAAGUUAGCUUACAUUACAUCUUUUCUCUUUCUUGCUUAUAGCAUCAUUCUUUGUCGUGUUCUUUUAUUUAACCUUUCUUUGUCUUGUGUUUCCUCACAACACUUUGUAAAAGUGUUUUAAAAUCAAGAUCUGAAAAUCUUAUCUCCUCUAUUAGAAUUUGCUAAUCUUCUCGUUCUAAACAAUCACUUAUAUUUCUAUAGGGCUUCCCUUUUGGAAUAUAUAAUCAGAUACAAUCUAUUUAGGGUUUUAAUGGCGAAUCCAUGGUGGACAGGACAAGUGAAUCUCUCCGGCCUCGAAACGACGCCGCCGAGUUCCUCUCAGUUAAAGACACCAGAUCUCCACAUCUCCAUGAAUAUGGCCAUGGACUCAGGUCAUAACAACCACCACCAUCAUCACCAAGAAGUCAACACCAACAACAACAACGAAGACGAUAGAGACAACUUGAGCGGCGACGACCGCGAGCCACGUGAAGGAGCCGUGGAAGCUCCCACGCGCCGACCACGUGGACGUCCUGCUGGUUCCAAGAACAAACCAAAGCCACCAAUCUUUGUCACGCGUGAUUCUCCAAACGCUCUCAAGAGCCAUGUCAUGGAGAUCGCUAGUGGGACUGAUGUCAUAGAAACCCUAGCUACUUUCGCUAGGCGGCGCCAACGUGGCAUCUGCAUCUUGAGCGGUAACGGCACGGUGGCUAACGUCACACUCCGUCAACCAUCAGUGGCUCCCGUUGCAGCUGCCCCUGGUGGUGCGGCUGUAUUGGCGUUACAAGGGAGGUUUGAGAUUCUUUCUCUAACCGGUUCUUUCUUACCUGGACCGGCUCCACCUGGAUCCACUGGUUUAACUAUUUACUUAGCUGGUGGUCAAGGUCAGGUUGUUGGAGGAAGCGUGGUGGGGCCAUUGAUGGCUGCUGGUCCGGUGAUGCUAAUCGCUGCCACGUUUUCUAAUGCGACUUAUGAGAGAUUACCUUUGGAUGAGGAAGAAGCGGCUGAAAGAGGUGGCGGUGGAAGCGACGGAGGAGUGGUUCCAGGGCAGCUCGGGGGCGUAGGUUCCCCGCUGAGUAGUGGUGGCGGUGGAGGCCACGGGAACCAAGGACUUCCCGCAUAUAAUAUGCCCGGAAACCUUGCUUCUAAUGGCGGUGGAGGAGGACAGAUGAGCGGCCAAGAAGCGUACGGUUGGGCUCAAGCUAGGUCAGGAUUUUAACGUGCGUUAAGAUGACUUUUUAUUUACAGCAGUUAACAAUAAAGAAUUACGUUAUGUCUAUUAUGAUAAUGAUUAUGAAAACUAGUUGCUACUAGUGAGCUAUAUAGUGUGUGGGUACAUUAUAUUAUGUUCUCUUGACUAGAUUAUUAUAUGCUAAAUUUCACUUACUUGUGUGUGGUUUAUGAUCUUUUAUUACAAGAUUUUCUCUUUGUUGGAUUCUUCAUUUGUUUUUAUAAUGAAGUUAUGUGUGCAUAUAUAAUCGAUUGAAUCUUUGAGGUUGGUCAUGUUUUCCAUGUAUAUGAUAUAGCACUAUAUAUGCCAUAUAUAAUUGGUUUUAUAUAUUUUGUAUGUUUGCAUGCAUUUAUUAGACACCUGAUUGGCAAUUAUCUACAAGCCUUACACUCACCUAGUCUCAUUAAAUAUAAGCUGGUUUAAUUUUGCUACAAAUUAUGUAAGAAAAUAUUGAUUUACAUGUAACCCAAUACUUCAAAAAUGCAUAUAUAUAUAUCUCAGCCUUCUGAACAAAACAUCGGAUUAUAACCCGAUUAAGAGUAACACGAACACGUAAAAGAACUGUUUAAGCUACGCACAUCAGCAUACAUUAUAUCAUACAAAAGAAAAAGAAUUGCCGAGAAAGAUCAAUGAACUCCGGUUCCAGGAUUUAGUUCGAUUCCAAAUAUUCACAAACAAUUUGUUUUAUUAUUUUCGGUUAUGAUAUUUUGGUCCAGUGAUUUAUUUGAUGGUAAACUCACAUAAAACUAUCAUUUCCGAAGAAUAAGUUCACAUCAUGAUAAGUCGGAUGAUAGAGUGAAGUGAUCAAAUGAAAUUAACAAAAAAUACUUUUAGAAUAAACAUAUAUAACAUGCAUAAAUUAGAUUAGUAUCAGAUCAUCUCUUGAACAAUCUAGGAUUUCAAUUUUAUUGUAACCUAACUUUUAUUAUUCAGUUAAUUAUGGUUACAAUUUUAAUUAAAAAAAAUUAGUAUGUUCGCUUAGCAUGCAGUCAUCAUUAAAUUAUACUCUAGUGGAAAAGAUGAUGUAUCCAACAAAAGUAAUCUAUAAAUGCUAUUACCGAAAGCUAUAUAUUAAUAGGUUAUUUCAAAUGAAAUGACAUUUGACAAUAAAAUGUUCUAAUAAAAUAUAAAUGCAUGUGUUAUUUGAAUGUUCAAAUCACCUGGACUGAAACUCAAACUUAUAAUUAAUGGCUUUGUGAAUCUGCAACGGUCUAAUAUAUAUAUAUACAAAGAAGCCGUAGUCAACCACAACUAAUAUAACUAAAUCAGUCGACUCAAAAACUAAUUUUGUUUUUCAGAAAAAAAACUAAUUUAGUUAUAAUAUAUAUAUAUUUAUGGUACACACCAGGUUCAAUGCAACUUAAUAUACGACGGGAAUAAAAAAAAGGUCCAAUGCAACUAUUAUACCAAUUUUUAAUACAUGUGUGUGUGUGCCUGUAUUAAUAAUCCCCCUUGCUGUCUGUCAGCUUACAAGUGUCGUCAUUUAACCAAGUUUUUAGGCUUUCUUGACCAUCUUUUAAUUAAAAAUCAUAGACAAAGUAUGAGAAUACAGGAGCUUAUUCACAUGGUACCACAUGCGUUCCUCUUGCAAAACGCAAACCCUAAUGGACCUGUCUAUUAUAUAUAUUCAUAUCCGUACUUUCUUGAGCAGAAAUGCAUAACACUAAAAUGAUUAACUAAAGUGCUUUAGAAUUUAAAAAUAUUUACAUUAGUGUAGCCAUUUAUUAAGAUCCAAGUAUAGCGAUUUAUCAAGAACCUUCUCGUCUACUUCUCUUAUAUUAAGCCUUUCGUUUUCUCGACCGAGAGAAAGCGAUUUUCACCAAGUCGUUUUUUCCGCCUUUUUUUUUUUUUUUUUUGGUCAUCCUCAUCUGCAGAGGCAGAACAGAGCUUUGGCUCUUGCUUCUUGUGAGCUACCAUAUAUAAACAGGUGAACACAUAUAUACCACAAUCUCUGGUUCUUAUAGUUUAUAUACCAAAACUAUUGUUUUAUAUUAAGAUGUAACAACUUUCACAUAAAAGUAAUGAAAGUUCAGGUAUAAAGCCGUAUUCAUAUUUAAGUCCAACAAAGUUAGCAGUUUUUUUCUCUAUAAAUGAUUGAAUCACUGCAUUUCGAUAAGUAAAUUACACAUAUGAUUAUCAUCAAUCAAAACUACUUACCCAAACUUUUUAAUGGUAUACUGAACGGCCGGUUUAAAACUAAGAAGUACAAAAAUUGAAAAGUAUUGUGUAGAGAGAUACCAAAUCAUAAAUUCUUGUAAUAUUUUAUCGAAAAGCCAAGCCUAAACCGCACUCAAAAGAAUAUAAUACUAGUUAAUUAGAAAAAGUCUAAAUCUAUAGCAAUUAACAACUAAUACUUUGAAAAGGAAUCCAUAAACAAGCAUUAUUAAAAGUAUAACAAAGACCACAAGAUAAAGCAUAACUCGGGGUCCAAAAAACUAUAUCAAAAGAUUAAAGAAACAUUAAUUAGUAUGCCGAGGUAGUACUGCUUCAUUGAACAAAAUAAUUAUAAAAUCUGUUUCCUGUUUUUGUAUUUUAUAUAUGUAUAUAUAUAUAUAUUUAUAUAUGUAUAUACACUAUUAAGCUUAUAUUAAUAUAUAUCCCUUAUAUAUUAAUCGACGAACAUUUAAAAAGAUGUAACUUUCGAUUUUGUAAUAAUUAAAAAAAAACUCUUUGCUUAUGUGUCAAUCAAUUAGGUAGUUAAUUAGUCCUACGUGUCAGUCUCACGUUAAAACUGAAAAACAUGUUGGUCCAAUUCAAUUUUUAUAUCUCACUAGAAACAUUUAGUACCAACUAUAUGAUAUCAUAUGAUAUUAACUAAAACAAGGUGACUAUUUAUUAUACUCCCUCCGUUUCAUAAUACUUGAUGUUUUGUAAUAGUACACAAAGAUUGAAAAUUACAUUUCCCUAGAAAAAAUAUUUUAAAGAUAUAAUUUUAAAAUCAGUUAACCAAUUAUAAAAAAGACCGUAAAAUCUAAUUGGUUGAACAGUUUUCAAUAAAGUUAAAGUUAACCUUAAAAUCUCAAAACUUCCUUAAAAUCUCAAAACUUCAUGUAAAUUGAAACAAAACAAACCUUCUAAAAUAUCAUCUAUAUUGAAACGAAGGGAUUAUAUUUUUUCUUUAAAUGAAACCUACGGAAUUACCUAAUGUGAUUAUGAUAUAUAUAGUAAUAAAUGAUUUUAAAUAAUGAAGAUUUGCUAAUAAUUUAUAUGCUUUCUAUCAUUUUUGUUUAAUUCUUUACUAUUAAAAUAAAUUACACGAUUAUAUUAAUCAUAUAUUAAAAAUUAAGAUUUUUUUGUAUAUGUUGUAUUUUGAAUUUUUCAAAACGAGUAUAAAUUACUAAAACUGUUAAAAGUCUCACAUAAACUUUUGUGAUCAAUGUUUAAAUUUUUUUCUAUAAAAGAUACAAUGAUAAUAAAAUCAUAUAAAUAAAUAAUUUUAUUUUAAUAGGUGUUUAUGUUAAUAUAUAUAUAUAUAUAUUUCAUAUCCUUUAAAUUAAACUAUACAUCAAAUGAAAAUACAUACUUAUAUUUUGAUAUUUUCAUUAAACAUAUAUUAAAAAGUUAAUAUUUUAAUUUUGAAAUCUUCAUUGUUUUUUUUAAAUGAUUAUAAAUUAUUGAAACUACUAAACAUCCGACAUUAAAAAAAAUCGUAGGUGUAAAAUUUUGCUAUACAAAUAUGUAAAUAAUAAUAAAAUCAUAUAAGUAGAAACCUCAUUUAAUAAAUAUCCAUAUUAAAAGUAUAUUACAUAUCUAUGUUAAUAUCAUUUAAAUUUAAUUAUAUAUCACAUACGAUAGAUAAAAUUGAUUUAUUGAUUUAUUUACCCUAAAAUAAUUUCGAAUAAACAAAAAUGAUCGUUUAAUUUAUAUGCACACGCUAAUUUAUUACAUAAUAGUAACUGAUUUCUUAGUUAUUUAGUAUAUAUACUUAUUAUUUUAUUAUUUCAUAAUAUGCAGAAAACAUAAAAUAAGUAAUAAAUAUAAAAUAUUUAUUAUGCAAAAAGUGCGGAUCUUAACCUAAGUCUGUAUCUCUUUAAUAAUUUUAAAUCUUAAACAUUUUCUAAAUCUCAGACCAAAACAAACAAACAAAAUGAAAAUAAACUCCAAAAUCAAUAUUUAUAUCGAGCAAUAACCAAAAUGAAAAAGAGACACAAAAAAAAUUGAAGAUACAUAUGAUUGGCACGUGAACGUAAACUUCUCAUGACCAUAAUUAACUUUUAAAUUUCUAAAUCAUGAUAUAAAACUGAGCUGGCAUAGUUUCAUUGUAAUCAAAUAGUUGACCUGAAAUUCUUCGGCCUAAACGUUAAGAACGUUCUUAUACGAUAAAUGAUUUUUUGGCCUAAAACAUUUUUUUUAAAUGGGAUCAGAUCAUCUGUAUAUAAAUUAUUUAAUUAAAAAAAAGUUAUAAAAAAAUUUAAGGGCCAAAUAUUAAUUCGAUCAAGAAUAUAAAUUUAUUUUUCCAUACAAUAUUUCUUAAAUAAUUUUCAUAUAAAUUUCAUCUGCGUAAGGCGCAUGUCUUAUCCUAGUACUUUUUAAAUUAUAAGAAAAAUUCAAAUAGUCAACCAUCAGUGGCUCCCGUUGCAGCUGCCCCUGGUGGUGCGGCUGUAUUGGCGUUACAAGGGAGGUUUGAGAUUCUUUCUCUAACCGGUUCUUUCUUACCUGGACCGGCUCCACCUGGAUCCACUGGUUUAACUAUUUACUUAGCUGGUGGUCAAGGUCAGGUUGUUGGAGGAAGCGUGGUGGGGCCAUUGAUGGCUGCUGGUCCGGUGAUGCUAAUCGCUGCCACGUUUUCUAAUGCGACUUAUGAGAGAUUACCUUUGGAUGAGGAAGAAGCGGCUGAAAGAGGUGGCGGUGGAAGCGACGGAGGAGUGGUUCCAGGGCAGCUCGGGGGCGUAGGUUCCCCGCUGAGUAGUGGUGGCGGUGGAGGCCAUGGGAACCAAGGACUUCCCGCAUAUAAUAUGCCCGGAAACCUUGCUUCUAAUGGCGGUGGAGGAGGACAGAUGAGCGGCCAAGAAGCGUACGGUUGGGCUCAAGCUAGGUCAGGAUUUUAACGUGCGUUAAGAUGACUUUUUAUUUACAGCAGUUAACAAUAAAGAAUUACGUUAUGUCUAUU
rnacentral:lncRNA from 1 species